UUACAUAAUUUUAUAGUUUUCCAAAAAUUCCUUCUUUGUACAGUCCCAAUCCCGUAAUGCUCCCAAAGAGGUGGGGGUGCCCUCUCUAAUGAGGAGACCAGUCAGAUGCCAGUCUGGCUGUGUCCCGAAGGAACUUAGGUGACGCUUAGCCAUAGAGGUCCCAGCUUUGUGACUCACAAUCGGAAACUAUUCUGAUGCCACCAUAGACUGUGUGCCGUUCACCACGGAAUCACAGACAGACCCGCUCACACUCCAUAGACUUUUUGGGACCUUAAGGGUGCCCACCCGUGGAGCCACAGAAUCGAACCUGGCAGGCAAGCCAGACCGAGUCUCACAUCCACACUAGAGGUGAUCACACUCCCUCCCACAGAAUCCCUACAGAGGAGACUGAAAACAUCGACAAUGGCAACAGGACAGAACAGCCAAAAGCCUCCCUAACUGACUCACGCGCCUACAUGGAAGGAGAGGAACUAGAAAGCCCACUGGAGAGAGUGGCAUCCAAGCUAAAAGCGCACGCUGUGUAGGAAGAGGACCCCAGGCCAAGGGAACAGGAAAUCCUCUAACGCUAUAUGGGGACUUUCUGUCGUGAGAAAGAGUCUCACUGCCCCAGUCACAGGAGGGACACGGAGACGUGGAGCAGUGAAGUGAGGAUUUAAUCAAGGUUGCUCCUCAUGCACAUCUGACGAUGAGCUGGACCUCCGUUUGGGCCCCGGGUUGUCCAGGGCUUCCUGGAGGCCGUGCGGACAGCACCGCCCACUGCCGCCCUGCGCGCCUGGCUUGCUGGUCGUCACCUCAGUGUCCGGGUCCCGACCCUGGCCCACCAGACGUCCCCGCAGAAGUCCUGCGCCCCACUCCUUACAGAGACGGGCUGUGGAAGACCACAGAGCUGUCCCCGCCCCCCCCCCCCGGGGGGAGAACGAGAUGAGCGGGCUGCACGGACACCAGAGCCUUGGGUCCACCCAGCCGGUGUCCGGCGCUGCGACCAACGGUGGCCCCGCAGAGCACGCGUUCCCCAGGGCUCACGAAGGGGGCAGCGCGGGGGCGCGUUCCCUCUUCCCGCUGC